rnacentral:rRNA from 1 species
UACGUAGGGUGCAAGCGUUGUCCGGAAUUAUUGGGCGUAAAGAGCUUGUAGGCGGUUUGUCGCGUCUGCUGUGAAAUUUCGGGGGCUCAACCCCCGAACUUGCAGUGGGUACGGGCAGACUAGAGUGUGGUAGGGGAGACUGGAAUUCCUGGUGUAGCGGUGAAAUGCGCAGAUAUCAGGAGGAACACCGGUGGCGAAGGCGGGACUCUGGGCCGAUACUGACGCUGAGGAGCGAAAGCGUGGGGAGCAAACAGG